AUGACGGGAUCUACUUUGGCGGCCACCGCAUACAAGGCACAGUUCUUAGGCUUGACACUUUCGCCCAUGAAUUUUAUGGUCUGGAAGGCUUGGGCCCCUCUCAAGAUCAAGUUCUUCGCUUGGUUGGCUAUCCAAGAUCGGAUUUGGACAGCCGACAUAUUGAAGCGACGGUGGGAAAAUUGUGGGCUUUGCCCGCUUUGCAGGCGAGUUGGCGAGACGGGUGCGCACCUCUUCUACAAAUGCCGCUACACCAUUCGGCUAUGGAACUCGGUCAUCCUUGAAUUUGGUCUUGCACACAUGGACACCUCCUCUUGGCACAUGGAUGGAUCCUUUCUAGAAUGGUGGGACAAGCGAACCAACUUGCAAAACCCAAAUCGACGAGCCUUGGCCUCCCUUACAAUGCUUGUUCCUUGGACAAUCUAGAACGAACGUAACACUCGGGUCUUCCGAUGCAAGAGGGCGCCACCUCCAGUCCUCAUCCGUGCUACCAUCGACGACGCCAAGCUUUGGGUUCUCGUGGGUGCUAAAAAAACCGGGGUGUAUUGUUGUGCGCGAGUAGUUGCCAUGCCGCGCAUGUGGGUCAUUUAUAACACACUAAAACUCUCCUCUCUUAUUUAA
rnacentral:rRNA from 1 species